UUCAAGACUAUUAGUUUACACCAGUUAGAAAAAGAAAAUUUCUCAACUGAAAUCAGAUAAUCUCGGAGAGGACAUCGUAGCCGGUCCGUCACGGCCCAAAGUCAGGCGGAUAGACAGGAUAUACUCUCAGCACCGCAAAAACUCAGCCGUUCUGUCAGUGAAUCAAUAUGCAUUUGUGACUCUGUACCUUUUGUAGAAAAUUUACCCAGAUCCACCCCUCUACCAUUCGAAAGGCAUUUGCAUGAUGGUAGAAGCAAUGCUAUGUUUGGAAGUAAUGGAAAGGAAAUGUCAAGAAGAUCUAAAGUUUCAUCUAAAGGUACUGAUUAGUAGGAGAUGGGAUGUGUUAACAUCAGACAUUGAAGAGAGUAUGCGAAACAAAAGUUUCGUUGAACUCUACUCGUCAGUUUUUUUAAAACAUUGGAAUGCCUCCGACACCUUCUACAGUAACAGGAACAGGAGCCUGUUGAUUCUGCUGACUACAACGGAAGACUUACCGAUGGUCUGGCGGGCACAGUUGUGUGGAAAUGUGGUGUGUUCUACACUCAAGAUCCAAUCUACCAUGGACUUGUACUUAUCAGGUAUGCUCUGUUAUACUUUCUUAUUAUUGUUAAGGUUUUAAAAACAUAACCGUUUACCGUACGGAGGUAUCGUGUUCGUGUCUCUUUGUCUUCCGUCUAUCAUAUUUCUUUAUAUUUUACAUUGAAACUAAAACCGCGUUUUAUUAUGUCAUAAUACAUUGAAAGGACUAAAUUUGACAUUCUGUGUAUCAUAUUGAUCUAAAGAGACACAAUUUUACAAUAUAUUUAUAUGUA
rnacentral:lncRNA from 1 species